UGGGGAAUUUUCCGCAAUGGGCGAAAGCCUGACGGAGCAAUGCCGCGUGAAUGAAGAAGGUCUUCGGAUCGUAAAGUUCUGUCAUCAGGGAAGAACAGUGGUAGUGUGAAUAAUGCUAUUGCCUGACGGUACCUGAGGAGGAAGCCACGGCUAACUACGUGCC
rnacentral:rRNA from 1 species